CACUUUCACUCCUACGGGAGGCAGCAGUGGGGAAUAUUGCACAAUGGGCGCAAGCCUGAUGCAGCCAUGCCGCGUGUGUGAAGAAGGCCUUCGGGUUGUAAAGCACUUUCAGUCGUGAGGAAGGUAGUGUAGUUAAUAGCUGCAUUAUUUGACGUUAGCGACAGAAGAAGCACCGGCUAACUCCGUGCCAGCAGCCGCGGUAAUACGGAGGGUGCGAGCGUUAAUCGGGAAUUACUGGGCGUAAAGCGCAUGCAGGUGGUUUGUUAAGUCAGAUGUGAAAGCCCGGGGCUCAACCUCGGAAUUGCAUUUGAAACUGGCAGACUAGAGUACUGUAGAGGGGGUAGAAUUUCAGGUGUAGCGGUGAAAAUGCGUAGAGAUCUGAAGGAAUACCGGUGGCGAAGGCGGCCCCCUGGACAGAUACUGACACUCAGAUGCGAAAGCGUGGGGAGCAAACAGGAUUAGAUACCCUGGUAG
rnacentral:rRNA from 1 species